AAACUUCUUUUUCAUGUAACUAUGAACUGGGUCAAAUUGACAGUUAAAGCUAAUUAGGAAAAAAAAAUGUGUGUGUGUGUGUGGUUGUGUGUGUGUGUGGUUAACAAGGAUAUUUGUUUUAAAAAUAUUUAUUUUUAUCUAUAGGUCUGGCUUCCUGCCUCCCAGCAGCACACACUUCCAGUCCAAUAACCAGACACCAGAGCCCAAGGUCCACAAUGCUCUCUGUGACCUCAGCAAAAGCUAGGACCAGGCCUAUUUCAAAGCAGAACUGCUUGCUGGGAGGAUGGGAGAUGGGGUUGGCUGGACCUGGUUGGUCAGGCGUCUGGUGUGGAGCUAAGGCGUCCAACCACAUCGACUCCUCCACGUCUGGCUUCAUUCCAGGUCCUGCUCGCUGCAGCUAGAACAGUUGCCCUUCUUGUCUGCUACGGAGUGAAAAACAGGAGUGUUGUGGAUUAAAUUCAAGAUGCCCUAUAUCACCAAUCACCAGUCAGUCCCUGUGAUGGUUUGUAUAUCCUUGGACCAGGGAGUGGCACCAUCUGAAGGUAUGGCCUUGUUGGAAUAGGUGUGACCUGGUUGGAAUGGGUGUGUCACUGUAAGUGUGGGUAUAAGAUCCUCACCCUAGUUGCCUGGAAAUCAGUCUUCCACUAGCAGCCUUUGGAUAGAGACAUAGAACUCUCAGCUCCUGUGCCAUGCCUGCCUGGAUACUGCCAUGCUCCCACCUUGAUGAUAAUAGACUGAACCUCUGAACCUAUAAGCCAGCCCCAAUUAAAUGUUGUUUUUUAUA
rnacentral:lncRNA from 1 species